GGUAACCCAAAAAUUAAAAUAUGGUUGUAAAUGCAUUUACCGGUCAUUCUGAUAUUAAUGCUCGCUAUGGGAACACAGGAUGGCCGGGCAGUGAUAGUUGUACAUUUCCAUCACUCGUUGUGUUGAUUUCAUCAUGUCCAUUAGGUGAUGUUUUUACACUAUAGAAUCAUAUUGCAAGUGCGCGCGCAUUUGCAAUAUGUUUCAAUGUGCAUUUACUAUAUGAAAUUUGACAUGCUCAAAAAUGCAAAAUUGACUGGUCUGAUGGACACAGGAUGGCCGAGCAGUGAUAGUUGUACAUUUCCAUCACUCGUUGUGUUGAUUUCAUCAUGUCCAUUAGGUGAUGUUUUUUCACUAUAGAAUCAUAUUGCAAGUGCGCGCGCAUUUGCAAUAUGUUUCAAUGUGCAUUUACCAUAUGAAAUUUGACAUGCUCAAAAAUGCAAAAUUGACUGGUCUGAUGAACACAGGAUGGCUGAGCAGUGAUAGUUGUACAUUUCCAUCACCUGUUGUGUUGAUUUCAUCAUGUCCAUUUGUUUAUGUUUUCUCACUUUUGCAAAGUCACUGUGCAUUUGCAAUAUGGUUCAAUGGGCAGGUACCAUCACGAAUUUGUCAUGCUAUAAAAAUCCUGCAGGAAUGUGAAAUUGACUGGUCUGAUGAACACAGGAUGGCCGAGCAGUGAUAGUUGUACAUUUCCAUCACUUGUUGUGUUGAUUUCAUCA